AUCCCAAGUGCUUGCACGUAAGUGUAAGCUGUUUCUUUGUUUAAAACGCAUAGAGAGUAAGGGCUGGGUAAGACGGGUGCCAGCCGCCGCGGUAAUACCUGCAGCUCAAGUGGUGGCCGCUAUUAUUGGGCCUAAAACGUCCGUAGCCGGUUUAUUAAAUGCCUGGGUAAAUCGUGUAGCUUAACUAUACGAAUUCCGGGUAGACUGAUAAACUUGAGAUCGGGAGAAGUUAGAGGUACUCCUGGGGUAGAGGUGAAAUUCUGUAAUCCUAGGGGGACCACCAGUGGCGAAGGCGUCUGACUAGAACGGGUCUGACGGUGAGGGACGAAGCCCUGGGGCGCAAACCGGAUUAGAUACCCGGGUAGUCCAGGGUGUAAACGCUGCUUGCUUGAUGUUAGUCGGGCUCCGAGCCCGAUUAGUGUCGGAGAGAAGUUGUUAAGCAAGCUGCCUGGGAAGUACGGUCGCAAGACUGAAACUUAAAGGAAUUGGCGGGGGAGCAG
rnacentral:rRNA from 1 species